rnacentral:rRNA from 1 species
CUGCUUAAUUGCGUUUCAAAUUUUUAUUUGAGGACCAGGUUUUGGUUUGGGUAGUGGUCCUACGAUGACUGUGAACUGUCAUGUCUUCGGAUGUGCGACUAUCGGUCUAGGAUCGCAUCUCAGCCCCUGGGACUCUUUUGAACGCAACGGACGUGAUUGCAACCCCUUGUUGAGAUUAGAGGAGUCUCGAUAUUCAUUGGCCAAACUUACCGCUUCGAGCUUGCUCGUGCAGUUUUGUUAGCCGGUGGAUAAACUCGGGGGACUGCUGACUAUAACCAUUUCUCAAAACAGAGGAAGGUUGCGGCAAUAACAGGUCUGUGAUGCCCUCAGAUGU